rnacentral:rRNA from 1 species
ACAAUGACUCUUGGCAACGGAUAUCUCGGCUCUCGCAUCGAUGAAGAACGCAUCGAAAUGUGAUACCUAGUGUGAAUUUCAGAAUCCCGUGAAUCAUCGAGUUUUUGAACGCAAGUUGCACCCAAGGCCUUCGGGCCGAGGGCACACCUACCUGGACGUCACG